GUUGGCUAUGGCGAUAUGUACCCAGAGACAGUAUGGGGUAAGCUAGUGGGCUCAAUGUGCGCCAUCGCAGGUGUGCUGACCAUUUCACUUCCUGUCCCCGUCAUUGUGUCCAAC